CGUUAGCGUUUCCGUCCACAUGCCUUAUAAGGCACCGGGAAGCUCUCGCCUUUUAUAGUUAGGGUGACCGAAUCGUGCGCUUUCCUAUAUAACUUGGAGACUUUAGGGAAAUUUCAUGCAACGGAACCUCAUCACAAUGCUUGCACGUUUGGUGCUCUGACCGCCAGGCCAUACGCGGCAGCGACUGACCUGUGAGGUUUACUUGUUGGGUGGGACAUGUAAAUGAGCGCCCGGAGCACCUUGGGUAAGGCUCCCCGCGCGGGACCCAGGCCCUGGGCUUUGAGUUUUGGGGCUGCGGAACUCAGUCCGCAGAGCAUGCCGGGAGCCUGCAGUCCUUGCGGCCACAGAGUAGCGCGGAGGACCGAGCCGGCCUGGAGCACUUGGCGUCUCUCCAAAGUCGUUCUGGGAGUUGGGGAGGUGGUUGGCCCGCUAGGUCCCUAGGGCCUUGGGUCGAGAAGGGGUCCUCCCCAAUACAAGGAAGGUUUCACCGAUAUUUCGCUGGUGACAUUGGGGCCUUCUGCCAACAGACUUUUCUGAAGUGAGCCCAGAGUUCAACCCUUCGAGAGAGACCUUCCAACGAUUCCACGACUCAGUUCUGGAGCGGUGUCUUCCCCUGACCGCUACUUUCGCCGCCCCGGAACGCUGAAAAACCGGCUGACAGGUGGAUUUGAGGAAUUACAAUAGUUCACUUAGAGUCGAACUGGAGAAGCAUUCUUGAACGACCUUAUACCUCCUUGCACUCUAAUCCUAACCCCAUUAGGAUACAAACGUACGGGACAGACCUACUCGCAAGAAAUACUCUGUUAGUGUUAAAUAUUCUGAUUUUUAACUACAGCAAAAAUCAUAUUGUUUAUAUCCCUGAGCGUUGUGAGAUGAGGGCCCAAAGAUCAAAGCCUCUGGUAUUUAUUGGUUACAGCAUUGUAUAUAUUAAAGUUAGUGAAGGACAAA